rnacentral:rRNA from 1 species
AUCGAACGCUGGCGGCGGGCCUAACACAUGCAAGUCGAACGAGUGGCGGACGGGUGGGUGAUGUCUGGGAAACUGCCUGACGUAGGGGGAUAAGGAGUGGAAACGGUAGCUAAAACCGCUUACCACCCGAUGGGCCGAGGUGGGAUGAGCGUGUUGGUGUGGUAACGGGUCACCAAGGCGACGAGCCCUAGCUGGCCUGAGAGGAUGACCAGCCACACUGGAACUGCGACACGGUCCAGACUCCUACGGGAGGCAGCAGUAGGGAAUCUUGCACAAGGGGCGAAAGUCUGAUCGAGCCACGCCGCGUGAGUGAAGAAGGUCUUCGGGUCGUAAAGUACUUUUAGCGGGGAGGCGUUACCUAAAGAGGAAGCAACGGCUAACUCCGUGCCAGCAGCCGCGGUAAUAC